rnacentral:lncRNA from 1 species
GGGCGAUCUUGUCUUCUUCCUUUGGUUUACUUGCUUCGUCUUCUGCCUUUGAAACACUACCACUAACAUUACCUUCUACUGAACUCGAUGGAUGAAUGUUGUUGUUCUGCCUUCUCCAAUGUUCGAAGGGUAAUCGGCGGAGCAAUGCAAUUAGUUUCGCCACAAACAAUGUUAGUGCUCUUGCAGCACAUAUCACUUUCCCUUUCCCCAACUUCGCUUCCGCAAUGUUGAACCGGCAAUAGUGUUGCCCUGAUGACACAAAAUCCAAACGUUAUAGCUAUAUGACAGUACAAGUUGCAACCAUCAAACAAAUUCACGAUCUUUUGAGCAAAGUAUGGGACAAAAAGGUAGUAGCUUUACUAUAUCUGCAGUAAAGAGAAUAAGCACCUGGUAAAUAUGGUGCUGCUUCAGAAGGGCUCGUCGUAAGUAGACGAUCUUUGCAGUGCCCCUUUCCAUGCAAAGUAGAACUAUCAUCACAGCUGUAGUAUCC